GACGGGUGAGUAACACGUGGAUAACCUACCUAUAAGACUGGGAUAACUUCGGGAAACCGGAGCUAAUACCGGAUAAUAUUUUGAACCGCACGGUUCAAAAGUGAAAGACGGUCUUGCUGUCACUUAUAGAUGGAUCCGCGCUGCAUUAGCUAGUUGGUAAGGUAACGGCUUACCAAGGCAACGAUGCAUAGCCGACCUGAGAGGGUGAUCGGCCACACUGGAACUGAGACACGGUCCAG
rnacentral:rRNA from 1 species